rnacentral:miRNA from 1 species
AUUUAGGUUGGUGCAAAAGUUAUUGCGGUUUUUGCCAUUGAAAGUAAUGGCAAAACUGCAAUAACCUUUGCACCAACCUAAUAAA